GCCCACAUAGCUUAACCCAAAGCAUGACACUGAAGAUGUUAAGAUGGUACCCAUACUACCUGUGGAC
rnacentral:tRNA from 1 species